rnacentral:lncRNA from 1 species
CUGAGAAUUGUUUGGGGUUCUUUUAUUUUCAUUCCAGGCCUGCCCUCUUUCUAAAUGACCUUCAAAUUUGUUUUUGCCAGCCUUCUUCUUUAACCUCAAGUGACACAGCCUGUGUUCCAGAGAUAGUAGAGGAGAAAAUAUGUUCAAUGAUUUUUUAUCAUUUCUAAACACAUGAGCAGAGGAAUAUCUGAAAAAUGUUUUCAUCUGACUAAUUAGGUUGGAAAUCUCAAGAGAACAGUCCUAUUUGCUAUAUUUCUAAUGGAAAUGUUUCUGUUUCUGGUUGAGAAUCUUGCAAGAACAGAUUUCUCCUUCGACACUUCCUCUUGAACUUCAAGUAGGAAAAAAAUAAAGCAACUUUUUCUUUCUCAUCAUUUGGGAACUACAAACUUGAGUGGCCAUAUCCAGUAACAUAGCCUACUGCGUCGUAUUUACUGACAAACCCAGCAUGACAAGAGAAACAUGGGACCUACUCUUCAUUUGCAUUGAUUCCAGCCAAGAGCUUCAGUUUUCAUGCCUUGCUUCAGAAUUAUUGGUUUACCCAGAGGGUAACCGUGGAUUUAGACUUCACAUAGCUUGCAUCGCUGCUCCUGUCUCCGUGGGAUUCACAAUAAGGAGAUUUUGACAUCAACUCUGCUUAGGGGGUGAAGAAGAGUGCUUACCAGAUUCCCUUCUGGUUUGGAGAAAGAGUUUCUCUUGUGGAUGUCAUCUCUAUCAUCCCUUAGUGAAAAAAUUUUCAAGAGAAUCCUAAGGUGAAGAGAGCCUUGGAAGUCAUCUGGCCCAAUUUCCUCAUACAAUUCAAAGCUUCUUUGUAAGGUAGGGUGCCAUUUACUUUUAUAAGGCCAACUUUGGGGAGUUUACUACUUUGUAAAGCCACUUAUCGAAUAUUUACAGCUACAAUUCUGAAGAAAUACUUGAUACAACUCUUUGAAUGACCAGUUUUGCCCAGUAAAGCCUUAAAAUUAUUUUUUAGUUACCUCAUGUAUUAAAUUGUUCCUUUGUUUGUUCACUCAAAAAUAUUAAUUAAGCCAGGCUUCCUUAUUUAGCUUUGAAAUUGCAGUCCUCGAUGGUUGUGAAUGCAUGCUUGUUUCUACAAACCCCAUUGCUUCUAGUUCAUAUGAAAUUUGCAGGUAAUUAAAACUCUUUAUUCUCUAAGAACUGUUGCAUAGUCAGAUCUGUACUAUUUAACCUGCAGUUAAACUUUUCCCUUAAAGUGAAGCAUUGAAUUGUUCAGUUUUGAC